UACGAAAGGGGCGAGCGGUGUUCGGAAUUACUGGGCGUAAAGCGCACGUAGGCGGCUUGGUAAGUUGGGGGUGAAAUCCCAGGGCUCAACCCUGGAACUGCCUCCAAAACUGCUAGGCUAGAGGAUGCGAGAGGUUGGCGGAAUUGCGAGUGUAGAGGUGAGAUUCGUAGAUAUUCGGAUGAACACCAGUGGCGAAGGCGGCCAACUGGCGCAUUUCUGACGCUGAGGUGCGAAAGCGUGGGGAGCAGACAGG
rnacentral:rRNA from 1 species